CAGCACUAAGUGGGUGGUAAACUCCAUCUAAAACUAAAUAUAACCAUGAGACCGAUAGCAAACAAGUACCGUGAGGGAAAGUUGAAAAGAACUCUGAAUAGAGAGUUAAAUAGUACGUGAAACUGCUUAGAGGUUAAGCCCGAUGAACCUGAAUAUCCGUUGUAGAAAAUUCAUCAUCAAUUCUUUAAUAUUUUUUUAAAAUAUUAUAUGAAUGGUGUGCACUUUUUCUACUUAAGGACAUUGUAAUCUGUUAAUGUUUGAAUGCGUAUUAUAAGAACAUUUACAAUAGUUUUUACAUUAUUUAACUUGUUGAAUAUGUUUAAAUGUAGAUGCUUCGAAUAUGCCAUUGACAGAUUUUUUAGUAUAUUGUACUUAAAUCUUUUGAUUUUAUAAUAAUAUAAUUAUCAUUGAUUUUUAUAUUUAUUAUAUGUACAUAUAUGAUUGACAAUGCGAAAGAUUCAGGAUACCUUCGGGACCC
rnacentral:rRNA from 1 species